rnacentral:rRNA from 1 species
ACAAUAUUAAAACUCAAGGGCAUAUGGAGGAUGCCUUGACACCAAAAGGGGAAGAAGGACGUGGUGUAGCUGCGAAAAGCCUCGGGUAGGUGCGUAGCAACCUUUGAUCCGGGGAUAUCCGAAUGAGGAAACUCGAUGCGGCAAAACCGCAUCACCCUGUCGUAAGACAUGGACCGUACCCGCUGAAGUGAAACAUCUUAGUAAGCGGAGGAAAAAUAUACCGUAAAUAUAGUGUGCUUUGCACAUUGUACGUCGUUGAUUGCAAAUAGCUUGUCAUUUUUAUGAUUUGCUAUAUUUGCGAUAUGCGAUUUGCUGUGCAUAGCACACUGGUAUUCCCUUAGUAGCGGCGAGCGAAAAGGGAUUAGGACCCCUUAGGGGGUCCGUAGCCCAAAAUCUGCGAAUUGUUUACAAUACGCAGGUGGUAGUAGGACUAUUUUUUCGCGAGCGAAAUUUUAGAAAAAUAACUCUGGAAAGUGUAACCAAAGAGGGUAAAAGUCCCGUAUUUAAAAAAAUUGAACUCGUUAAAUAGUAUCCUGAGUAACUCGAGACACGACCACCUCGAGUGAAUCAUCCCGAACUAUCGGGAAAGGCUAAAUACUUUUGGUGAUCGAUAGUGAACUAGUACCGUGAGGGAAAGGUGAAAAGCAGCCCGGUUAGGGCGGUGAAAUAGAACCUGAAACCAUAUGCCUACAAGGAACAGGAGCCCCUCACUUGGUUUUAUGAAUUAUUUAAUUAUAGUUUUUUUUAAAGCUAAAAUUAUUUGUUCGUAGAUCCAAGUGAGGGGUGACUGUGUGCCUUUUGUAGAAUGAUCCAACGAGUUAUUUUAUACUGCAAACUAAGUCCUGAUAAGGAUGUAGUUACAGGGAAACCGAGUGUUAAUAGCGCGAACAUGAGUUUUUUUGAUAGGAAAAAUCCUAUCAAAAAAAUUCAAAUGUAGUAUGAAAUAGACCCGAAGCCAGGCGAUCUACCCAUGACCAGGGUGAACCCCGAGUAAUAUCGGGGGGAGGCCCGAACCCACUUCCGUUGCAAUAGAAGGGGAUGAGUCGUGGGUCGCAGUAAAAAGCUAAUCGAGCCUGGUAAUAGCUGGUUCUCUCCGAAAUAGCUUUAGGGCUAGCUUUCGGUUAUAGAUUUAUGAAGGUAGAGCACUAAUUGGUCUAUCAAGGCUUAUGCUGAGAUUGAUCAGAUAAACUCCGAAUUUCAUAAAUUGUUUCCGAAAAGUUAGAAUAUGGGGGCUAAGCUUCAUAUUCAAAAGGGAAACAGCCCAAAUCGCAGUCUAAGGUCCCCAAAUGCAAGCUCAGUGGGAAAGGAUGUGAAAUUUCUUGAACAGCUAGGAGGUUGGCUUAGAAGCAGCCAUCCUUUAAAAAGUGCGUAACAGCUUACUAGUCGAGAGAUUUUGUGCCUAAAAUUUAACGGGGCUUAAGCUUGCUACCGAAGACGCGGAUGCCACCGCAUCUCAUUUUGUUUGAUAUGAAAUUUAAAAUUUCUAAUUUUCAAUUUAAAAAUUGUUUAAAAAUUUUUUCAUAUCGAGCACAGCGAGAUGUGGUGGCGUGGUAGGAGAGCAUUUCUAUUGCGCUGAAGUUGCAUCGUAAGGUGUGAUGGAGCGAUAGGAAGAGAGAAUGUUGGAAUGAGUAACCACAAGUAGGAUGAGAGAUCCUACCGCCAAAAGCCUAAGGUUUCCUUGGCAAUGACAAUCAGCCAAGGGUUAGGCGGGCCUAACCCUGACUCCGAAAGGUGGCAGGGGAUGGACAGCCGGUUAAUAUUCCGGCCCUUCCUAUUUACAUGAUGGAGUGACGGAGACUAAUAAGGAGAGCAUAUUAUUGGAUUUGUGUUUCUAUUCUGGAGAGGUUCUUGGGAGAAAUGCCCAAGAGGCUUAAUUGCAACUUCAAUUGAAUGGAAAAAGUUUCGCUACGGCGAAGCUAUUCUCCCCAGCAGUCUUCCGAGAAAAACUUCUAAAGUUAAUAAAUAGGAACCCGUACUGCAAACCGACACAGGUGGGCAAGUAGAGUAUACUAAGGCGAACGAGUGAAUCUUCGUCAAGGAACUCGGCAAAUUAGCUAGGCGUAAGUUCGCAAUAUGCCUUCCCCGAUUAAAACCGGGGCGCAGCUAAAGUUUUCCUAGCGACUGUUUAUCAAAAACACAGGUCCCUGCGAACUCGUAAGAGUAUGUAUAGGGGCUGACGCCUGACCAAUGCUGGAAGGUUAAGAGUCGUUUGUUGUUCGAUUUAUCGUGCAGCUUGUGACUUAAGCCCCAGUGAAUGUCGGCCGUAACUAUAACGGUCCUAAGGUAGCGAAAUUCCUUGUCUGGUAACUUCAGACCCGCACGAAUGGCGUAACGACUGGGAAACUGUCUCGACGAAGAGCUCGGUGAAAAUGCAAUGAGGGUAAAGAUGCCCUCUACCCGCGGAAAGACGGAAAGACCCCGGGAGCUUUACUAUAGCUUUCUAUUGUUUUGGCGUUUUAGAUGCGUAGCGUAGUGGGGAGACUUUGAAGUUCCGCUUUUGGGCGGAAUGGAGUCAUCAAUGAAACACCCAUCUUUUGAAAUGCCAUAACUAACCUCGAUUUAAUAAAUCGAGAGACAGUGGAUGGUAGGUAGUUUAAGUGGGGCGCUUGCCUCCUAAACAGUAACGGAGGCGUUUAUUAAGGUCAGCUAGCUACGGAUGGAAAUCGUGGCGGUCGUGCAAAGGCAUAAGCUGGCUUAACUGCAAGGCAUAUUUGCCGCGCAGAUGCGAAAGCAGAACUUAGUGAACCGACCUUCUUUUAUAGAAGAGCGGAAGAUCAUCAGAUAAAAGCUACCCCGGGGAUAACAGGCUGGUCGCCUCCAAGAGUCCACAUCGACGAGGCGGUUCGGCACCUUUAUUAAACAUAUUGGGGUGCUACAACAGUAAUGUUGUACCUGUUUUUCAAGAAAAGCAUACUUGAAGAAAAAUAAAAAUUCGGCUUAUAACGGUGAACUCCGUAUAUAGACACUAUCGAAAGGUAGAAUGCAUAUACGGACAAUAUCGUGGGAAGUUCGACCUAAAGUGUCGAACCCCUUAGAGACUNNNNNNNNNNNGAAGGUUCUUCGAAAAAAUUCGAAGGACAACACGCCGACUCCUAUUACAAAAAGCGAGACUAUGGCCAAGAACACCUAAUGUCCGCAAUAGGAUGAAGAUAUAGUCCGAACCUCUUGGUAACAAGAGAAAAAUCGACAGCGAUGUCGGCUCAUCGUAUCCUGGGGCUGGAGCAGGUCCCAAGGGUUUGGCUGUUCGCCAAUUAAAACGGCACGCGAGCUGGGUUCAGACCGUCAACUUAAAACUGAACCAUUAAAAACAUCAAUAGCGGCGGCGCAGAGGAGUAAUUCUCUGUGGAAAAAUCGACUCAUAUCGGUGAAACCCAAUAUUGCUUUUACCUGGGUUAUAUUUGGGCAAUUCCGAGGGAAGUCCGAUUCUAUCGGACCCCGUAGAGACUUAUUCUUUUAAAGAAUAGAUGAGAACCAAUGUUUUCAUAAUACGUCGACUCCCCGAUGAUUAUCGGGGUGAUGGUAUAGUCCAUACCAUUGGUAACAAUGGAUUAAAUUGCGUAAGACAGGUUGGUCCCUAUCUUCCGUGGGCGCUUGAACUUUGAAGUGACUCAUUCGUAGUACGAGAGGACCCGAAUGAACGAACCUCUGGUGUACCAGUUGUCGCGCCAGCGGCAUAGCUGGGUAGCUAUGUUCGGAAGGGAUAAGCGCUGAAAGCAUAUAAGCGCGAAGCCCGCACUAAGAUUAGAGUUCUUAAAUUCCCGCUAGACUAGCGGGUUGAUAGGCUACAGGUGUAAGUGUGGUAACGCAUUAAGCCAAGUAGUACUAAUAAAUUAUUUUUUUGAAUA